AAAGGAACUCUGUUUCUGCGUAUUUGCAAGUUUUCUGGAAGUUUGUUCCAGAUUUUGGAGCACAGAAGUUAAAUGCUGCGUCUCCAUGCUUGGUUCUGCUUCUGUUGAUGCAGAGCAGAACAAGAAGA